CCAAUGGUUACUAGUUUCAUCUUUCCACAAAAUCACAUUGACUAGUCUUAGACUUCACUAACUUGUUUACUUUGGAUAUAUAUUUUGAUUUUAUAUUUUAUGGUUAUGGAUGCAAAUAUGAUGCCUUCUCCUGGUAAAUAAUCCUGAACACUAGCAGUGUAGAUGAUAUUGAAGAAAUUAAUAAAACCGAUAAUGGAGAUAAAGCUUCUACAAGCACAGUGCACACCUGCCUAACUGCCAUUUUGUGCCUCAAUCUACUAUAGUACAGAAAACACUGGAAGAGCAAAAGUGGAACAUGAAUUUAUGACAAGUGACUGUGGAAAAUGCAAACUAGACAUGCUAGACAAGUACAAAAUACUGUCAGCUGGUCAGGAUGAGCUCCAAAUAAUUAGCUGCUUGUACAAAUCAAGUAAAAUGAAUUCCUGAAGCAAAUAAACAAAGAGAUCUUUUC